UUCGGAUCGUAAAACUCUGUUGUCAGAGAAGAACAAGUUGGAGAGUAACUGCUCCAGCCUUGACGGUNUCUGACCAGAAAGCCACGGCUAACUACGUGCCANCAGCCGCGGUAAUACGUANGUGGNAAGCGUUGUCCGGAUUUAUUGGGCGUAAAGCGAGCGCANGCGGUUCCUUAAGUCUGAUGUGAAAGCCCACGGCUCAACCGUGGAAGGNCAUUGGAAACUGGGGAACUUGAGUGCNGAAGAGGAGAGUGGAAUUCCAUGUGUAGCGGUGAAAUGCGUANAUNUAUGGAGGAACACCAGUGGCGAAGGCGACUCUCUGGUCUGUAACUGACGCUGAGGCUCNAAAGCGUGGGGAGCAAACAGGAUUANAUACCCUGGUAGUCCACGCCGUAAACGAUGAGUGCUAAGUGUUGGAGGGUUUCCACCCUUCANUGCUGCAGCUAACGCAUUAAGCACUCCGCCUGGGGA
rnacentral:rRNA from 1 species